AAGUCGUAACAAGGUAACCGUAGGUGAACCUGCGGUUGGAUCAUUAAUAAUUUGAACUUGGAUAAUUGUAGUUAUUAUUUGAAACUUUUUCUUAUUUUAACUACAAUUUUCAAUUACACUUUGUGCACCUAUUAUUGUACCUUUGGGUUUCUGUUUGGGAAGUGCUACUAAGAAAUAUUUUAUAUUUUCUUAGGAAAGCUUCCUUAGGAUUCCCUACAUUUUUAAACAACCCUUUUAAAUUUUGACUAAUGUUUUUUUAUAAUAAAAUAUAUAAACAACUUUAAACAACGGAUCUCUUGGCUCUC
rnacentral:misc_RNA from 1 species